UACGUAAGUGGCAAGCGUUGUCCGGAUUUACUGGGCGUAAAGAGCGCGCAGGCGGUCGUUCAAGUCGCGUGUGAAAGCCCCCCGGCUCAACUGGGGAGGGUCACGCGAUACUGAUCGACUCGAAGGCAGGAGAGGGUAGUGGAAUUCCCGGUGUAGUGGUGAAAUGCGUAGAUAUCGGGAGGAACACCAGUGGCGAAGGCGACUACCUGGCCUGUUCUUGACGCUGAGGCACGAAAGCGUGGGGAGCAAACAGG
rnacentral:rRNA from 1 species